rnacentral:rRNA from 1 species
AGAGUUUGAUCCUGGCUCAGAUUGAACGCUGGCGGCAUGCUUUACACAUGCAAGUCGAACGGCAGCGGGGGUUUAAGCUUGCUUAGACCUGCCGGCGAGUGGCGAACGGGUGAGUACAACAUCGGAACGUGUCCGUUUGUGGGGGACAACUGCUCGAAAGGGUAGCUAAUACCGCAUAAGACCUGAGGGUGAAAGUGGGGGAUCGCAAGACCUCACGCGAACGGAGCGGCCGAUGACUGAUUAGGUAGUUGGUGAGGUAACGGCCCACCAAGCCGACGAUCAGUAGCUGGUCUGAGAGGACGACCAGCCACACUGGAACUGAGACACGGUCCAGACUCCUACGGGAGGCAGCAGUGGGGAAUUUUGGACAAUGGGGGAAACCCUGAUCCAGCCAUGCCGCGUGCGGGAAGAAGGCCUUCGGGUUGUAAACCGCUUUUGUCAGGGACGAAAAGUCGUAUUUAAAUAAAGUACGAUGCUGACGGUACCUGAAGAAUAAGCACCGGCUAACUACGUGCCAGCAGCCGCGGUAAUACGUAGGGUGCAAGCGUUAAUCGGAAUUACUGGGCGUAAAGCGUGCGCAGGCGGUUGGAUAAGACAGAUGUGAAAUCCCCGGGCUUAACCUGGGAACCGCAUUUGUGACUGUCUGACUGGAGUAUGUCAGAGGGGGGUGGAAUUCCACGUGUAGCAGUGAAAUGCGUAGAUAUGUGGAAGAACACCGAUGGCGAAGGCAGCCCCCUGGGGCAAAACUGACGCUCAUGCACGAAAGCGUGGGGAGCAAACAGGAUUAGAUACCCUGGUAGUCCACGCCCUAAACGAUGUCUACUGGUUGUUGGGGAGUUAAAUCCUCAGUAACGAAGCCAACGCGUGAAGUAGACCGCCUGGGGAGUACGGUCGCAAGAUUAAAACUCAAAGGAAUUGACGGGGACCCGCACAAGCGGUGGAUGAUGUGGAUUAAUUCGAUGCAACGCGAAAAACCUUACCUAGCCUUGACAUGUCGAGAAGGAGACGUAAAUGUUUCCGUGCCCGAAAGGGAACUCGAACACAGGUGCUGCAUGGCUGUCGUCAGCUCGUGUCGUGAGAUGUUGGGUUAAGUCCCGCAACGAGCGCAACCCCUAUGCAUAGUUGCCAGCAGGUAAAGCUGGGCACUCUAUGCAGACUGCCCGGGUUAACCGGGAGGAAGGUGGGGACGACGUCAAGUCAUCAUGGCCCUUACACCCAGGGCUACACACGUACUACAAUGGCACGCACAAAGGGCAGCGAUACCGUGAGGUGGAGCCAAUCCCAAAAAACGUGUCCCAGUCCGGAUUGCAGUCUGCAACUCGACUGCAUGAAGUCGGAAUCGCUAGUAAUUCGAGGUCAGCAUACUCGGGUGAAUGCGUUCCCGGGCCUUGUACACACCGCCCGUCACACCACGAAAGUCGGUUUUACCCGAAGCCGGUGGGCCAACGAGCAAUCGAGGCAGCCGUCUACGGUAGGGCCGAUGAUUGGGGUGAAGUCGUAACAAGGUA